rnacentral:lncRNA from 1 species
AUCUCUGUUUGUUUCUGCUAUGAAUCCCUACUCCGUACCCCCUUAUGUGUUUGAGCUAAGUUUUCGGACUUGGCAAUAUAUAAGUUAUUGUACAUGAGUUAAAAUUGGAUCCUUUGGGAUACCAGCCUCUAAACAGUGUGUUCUAACAGGCUUAUGGGUAUGCUAGUACUCCUUAUUGCUGGGUAUGCCACAGCCUGCUCUUGCUUCUUUCAAUUUCCCUAUUUCCCCUGUAC